AUUGAACGCUGGCGGCAUGCCUUACACAUGCAAGUCGAACGGCAGCACGGACUUCGGUCUGGUGGCGAGUGGCGAACGGGUGAGUAAUAUAUCGGAACAUACCUUUUAGUUGGGGAUAACUAUCCUAAAGGAUAGCUAAUACCGCAUACGCUCUAAGGAGGAAAGCGGGGGAUCGUAAGACCUCGUGCUAUAAGCGUGGCAGAUAUCUGACUAGCUAGUUGGUGAGGUAAAGGCUCACCAAGGCGACGAUCAGUAGCUGGUCUGAGAGGACGACGAGCCACACUGGAAGUGAGACACGGUCCCGAAUCCUACGGGAGGAAGCAGUGGGGAAUUUUGGACAAUGGGGGCAACCCUGAUCCAGCAAUGCCGCGUGAGUGAAGAAGGCCUUCGGGUUGUAAAGCUCUUUUGUCAGGGAAGAAACGGUUGUGGCUAAUAUCCAUGGCUAAUGACGGUACCUGAAGAAUAAGCACCGGCUAACUACGUGCCAGCCGCCGCGGUAAUAC
rnacentral:rRNA from 1 species